rnacentral:lncRNA from 1 species
GCGGCGUGGCGCUGACGUCACCGGGGCGGUCGCCGGGAGCCCGCGCACCGGGACCCCCGGGAGGAACUGCCGGGAACCACCGGGAAUUACCGGGAAUUAGCGGGGGCUGCUCCGGGAGGAGCCCCCGGGCACGGCGGGGCCCCGCGCGGCUCCAGGGACCGCCGCGAUGCGCAGCGGAGCAUCCCGGAGAGGCGCGGGAAUGCCCCGGGCAGGGCAGCUGGAAUGGAGCUGGCUCCUAGAAAGGCUGAAUGCUUGGAGUCAGAAAAUUCCCUGCUGUCACAUCGUCCCUUGCCUUGGAGCUGGGCUCAGGCUUACAGUGAUUCCUGUUGCACACUCUUCCCAUCCCAGCACGUCUGAGCUUCAUCACUCUGGGCUGAAUCAGACCUGUCUGAUCAUUCACCCUCCUGUCACAGAAGAAGCAAAGGAUGCAGCAAGGCUCAGAGGUGUCAACUGAGCAGAGUCAGGAUCAGCUGCAGUUAUUCCAGAGUACGUGUCCACGUGCAGAAUAUUCCAGAACAGGCCUCCUCCGCAUCAGUCAUCAGCUUCAAUUACCAGUUUUCCGGAGCCGAGCCAUCAGGCAGUCUGACACGAGGGUCCAACCUAAUUCCCACCUUCUCCAAAGUCAAGAGCAUAAUGUGCAGAUGAAAAGGUGGAAAAUAGCCUGGACUUCAUUAGCAUGCAGAGCCCGGCUGUUCAUUUGCUUGCUGCGAAUGGAAGUUCUGACACUCGGCGCCUUCUGCAAUAUGAGAAAAGUCCUCUUCAGAGUAUAUGAUGUCCUCACCAGCCAGCAAAGGUCAUCAAAAAGGCAGGCGCUGACCUUGCUCCCUGCUCUUCAUGACUAGUUUAUUGAUUCCAGGAACACCUCAUUACAUGCCGGAUCAACAUAUUAUUGCCAUGUUCAGCGGCUGAAUUGUUUACAAGUGUCUUUAUAACCAGCAGAAAGCCUUCCGGAUGAUGCAUGACUACACUCAUUUGGAUGUGACCUGCCAAUUAGAUGUUAUCCGAUCCGGUGCCGUGUGUCCUGAUCCCUGACCGGGCCCGCUGCCCUGCAUCAGCACGGGCCCAUUUACUACUUCUUUCGAACGGCUCUUUGGCAAAGUGUCCAUUAGCCUGUCAGUCUGUAAAUAUUUUUUUUUUUUUUUUUACCUCGGGCAGAGCGGUGGAUGCGCCGCCGGCGCUCCCGCUCUGUCAUUUGCUAUGCAUGAAGUUGAUAAUCAGCUGGGGGAGGCGAGGGGGUGUUUUAUGGCGGCGUCUGAUGGCCCACCCCAUUUGCAGUCAGCGUGCGUGGCCCGCGCUCCCGCGCCGUGUGCCACCCCGCCACAGGGACCCGGCAUAUUUUAUUCCAGCACCGCGAGACUGCUGAUUUAUUGGUGGGGGGAAGGCAGGAGCAAACCCUCCCCGUGCUCAGCCUCCCCCUGCCCUGCCUCCAAAGGCCCCAUAACUUACCACCCAGCAAAUGCCGUCCCCCUUCUCCAUCUCUGUGUUCUCCCCCGUUAAUAUAUUGCGCUGCGUUAUUUAUCCCGCAGCCCGGGGUGUUUACACGUGCGGAGAUGCGAGAACUUCAAAAAUAAAUCACGGGGCACGACUACUAUUUUAAUCUCU